UACGAAGGGUGCAAGCGUUACUCGGAAUUACUGGGCGUAAAGCGUGCGUAGGUGGUUGUUUAAGUCUGUUGUGAAAGCCCUGGGCUCAACCUGGGAACUGCAGUGGAAACUGGACGACUAGAGUGUGGUAGAGGGUAGCGGAAUUCCUGGUGUAGCAGUGAAAUGCGUAGAGAUCAGGAGGAACAUCCAUGGCGAAGGCAGCUACCUGGACCAACACUGACACUGAGGCACGAAAGCGUGGGGAGCAAACAGG
rnacentral:rRNA from 1 species